GCCUCCAUCGUCUAGCGGCCUAGGACACCGCCCUUUCAAGGCGGAGACAGGGAUUCGAUUUCCCUUGGAGGCACCA
rnacentral:tRNA from 1 species